rnacentral:ncRNA from 1 species
UUCUUCGGGGUUGGGUGUAAUUCCCUACUGGCGGUAAAGUCCGCGACCCUUGACAGAAGAGCAGCUGUUGCAUCAGGCAGUAAGGGCUCAACUGUCAUGGCUGACUCGGUGAAAGUCCGGGACCAACAGUAAAGUCUGGAUGAAAGAAGAA